UGGUUAGUGGCAAAUUGAAACUUUAAGACUGCUGCUGUUCUAGAGAACAAUGAGAAAGUAAGAUAUAAUGACCAAACAUGAUGGGUUUAUUUUAUACAAAACUGUGGCCAAAAAAAGUAAUCUCCUAUGACAGUUAAAUGGUGCUGUAUGUGCAUGCUAGCCAGUAAAUGAGCACUCCAGCCAAAUUGUAAAACUGACUGCCCAUUUUCUGUAAUUUUGACAGUCAUGUGAUGUUAAAGGACCACUAUAGUGCCAGGAAAACAUACUCGUUUUCCUGGCACUAUAGUGCCCUGAGGGUGCCCCCACCCGGCUCUGGAAGGGGGAAAGGGGUUAAAACUUACCUUUUUCCAGCGCUGGGCGGGGAGCUCUCUGCCUCUGUUCCUCCUCCUCUCCUCCCCGUUGGCUGAAUGCGCACGCGCGGCAAGAGCUGUGCGCGCAUU